AAUACAAUUCUAGCAUAAAUAAUAAACAUUUAUCAUGAAAUAAGGAAAUAAAUAAUAACUUUAUUAUUGCCUCUAGGGCAUAUUUCCUUCAGCUGCCCCUUGGCGAACCGAGAUCACCAACUAGUCUAGCAGACCCUCAUCAUGCACCACAUGCGUACGCUCCAGCUUCUGCCACCGCCACUUCUGCAGUCCCAAACUCAGGAGAGAUCCACGCAUUGACCUUCCCAGGGCCAACUGCCAUCGACGCCAGACAACGCCACCACCCUACGCGUGUCAAUCAACACAUGUCCAUUGCCUAGACCCCGCAGCGCCAUGCCGCCUAGACCCGUUGUCAUUGAUGCAAUAGAUGCCACACCGCACCACCUCCGGCACCGGGAACCAUCCAAGCUCGCCGUGCACACCUUCUAGCUCAAUGCCCAAGACGACGCCUCCAAGAAGGUGACGACGCCAUGGCGCCGCUACCGCCCAUUCACGGGGGACUAGGGUUUUCACCUGGGCACAGAGGGAGGAGUGAGCAGGGGGUUGACCUCACCGUCGCCACCAAGGAGGGGAAACGACCAGAGCACCAUCAACGACGUGGCCGGCUGCGGCGGUUAGAGGUGUCCACUGGACAAGCUCUCACCCCAUCACCCACCUGGUUCGCCAUCAACACCUUCGAGCACGGACGCCCGAGAUUUGGAUUAGCCAAUGGGGAGAACCGCGCGCUAGGAUGGUCCACCGCAGAUCUGACGAGAGGCGCACGGGGAACCACCUCACUCCACGACCGUCUUCCACCGGGGUCCUGCUGCCCAAGAAGCUAAGGAAGUCUGACCGACCGCUGUGACGAACGCCCAUCACCGAUGGAAGGACGCCGCCCACACCAAUCGAGGCCACCGCUUCAGAUCCAGGCCCUCACCUGACCCGAGGCAGAGGAGCAACCAAAGGCCUCGCCGCCACUGUCCCUUGCAGGAGCGGGGAUCCGGCGACUGCCUUCGGCGGCGGCGAGGGAGGAGGAAGGAGGGGAGGGAACCGAUGGCGGACGGAGUUGGGGCCCCGGUGCACCUCCC
rnacentral:lncRNA from 1 species